rnacentral:rRNA from 1 species
AUACGUAGGGUGCGAGCGUUGUCCGGAAUUACUGGGCGUAAAGAGCUCGUAGGUGGUUUGUCGCGUCGUCUGUGAAAUUCCGGGGCUUAACUCCGGGCGUGCAGGCGAUACGGGCAUAACUUGAGUACUGUAGGGGAGACUGGAAUUCCUGGUGUAGCGGUGAAAUGCGCAGAUAUCAGGAGGAACACCGGGGGCGAAGGCGGGCCUCCGGGCCAUAACUGACGCUGAGGAGCGAAAGCAUGGGUAGCGAACAGGAUUAGAUACCCUGGUAGUCCAUGCCGUAAACGGUGGGCGCUAGGUGUAGGGGUCUUCCACGACUUCUGUGCCGUAGCUAACGCAUUAAGCGCCCCGCCUGGGGAGUACGGCCGCAAGGCUAAAACUCAAAGGAAUUGACGGGG